GGGUCAUUAGCUCAGUUGGUAGAGCAGUCGCCUCUUAAGCGAACGGUCACUGGUUCGAGCCCAGUAUGACCCACCA
rnacentral:tRNA from 1 species